rnacentral:rRNA from 1 species
GUGUCAGCAGCCGCGGUAAGACAGAGGUGCCGAGCGUUAGGCGGAAUCACUGGGCUUAAAGCGUGUGUAGGCGGAAGCGUAAGUGCCUUGUGAAAUCCCACGGCUCAACCGUGGAACUGCUGGGCAUACUGCGUUUCUUGAGCCAAUCAGGGGUCGUCGGAACAAACGGUGGAGCGGUGAAAUGCGUAGAUAUCGUUUGGAACGCCAAAGGCGAAAGCAGACGACUGGGAUUGCGCUGACGCUGAGACACGAAAGCCAGGGGAGCAAACGGGAUUAGAUACCCCUGUAGUCC